CGCUUAAAAGCUAGCCCCCUCCCCAAAAAGCAACCCCUACCUGUUUAUAACCCCUAAUAGCACUAAAAUCUUUAAAACAAACCAUUUUCCUCCCCCAGUAUAGGCGAUAGAAAAGGAUCUACGGAGCCAUAGAGAAAGUACCGCAAGGGAACGCUGAAAGAGAAAUGAAACAACCCAGUAAAGCUUAGAGAAGCAGAGAUAAGAUCUCGUACCUUUUGCAUCAUGAUUUAGCCAGUAAACCUAGGCAAAAAGCGUUUUAGUCUGGGCCCCCGAAACUAAGUGAGCUACUCCGAGACAGCCUAUAAAUAGGGCACACCCGUCUCUGUGGCAAAAGAGUGGGAAGAGCUCUGAGUAGAGGUGACAAACCUACCGAACUUAGUGAUAGCUGGUUGCCCGGGAAUUGGAUAGAAGUUCAGCUUCCUGGUUUCUCCCUUCGCCCUUAUUUUUACCCCACCCGAUAUUUGAGAAGCCAAGAAAGUUAUUCAAAGGAGGUACAGCUCCUUUGACGCAAGAAACAACUUUUUCAGGAGGAUAAAGAUCAUACUCCCACUAAAGGUCGAAUGUUUAGGUGGGCUUAAAAGCAGCCAUCCUAACAGAAAGCGUUAAAGCUCAAACAUUGCUAAACCUAUAUAUACCGAUAACCCCCUCUCAAUCCCCUAUAAUUACCGAGCCGUCCUAUGCCACCAUAGGAGUGACUAUGCUAGAACGAGUAAUAAGAGAAUAAAGAUUCUCUCCGCGCAUGAGUGUACAUCGGAACGAACCCCAACCGAGCCCUAACGGACCCUAGACAAGAGGGUACUGAACUAUAAAUAAAACAACUAGAAAACCCCCCAACAAACCCCCGUUAACCCCACACUGGAAUGCUUAAUAGGAAAGACUAAAAGAAAAAGAAGGAACUCGGCAAACACACCCAAGCCUCGCCUGUUUACCAAAAACAUCGCCUCUUGCAAAACUAAUGAAUAAGAGGUCCCGCCUGCCCUGUGACUAUAAGUUUAACGGCCGCGGUAUUUUGACCGUGCGAAGGUAGCGCAAUCACUUGUCUUUUAAAUGGAGACCUGUAUGAAUGGCACGACGAGGGCUUAACUGUCUCCUUUUUCCAGUCAAUGAAACUGAUCUCCCCGUGCAGAAGCGGGGAUAAUCCCAUAAGACGAGAAGACCCUAUGGAGCUUCAGACACUAAAGCAGAUCAUGUUAAACACCCCGACCCCAUCGGACCAAACCAAAUGACCUCCUGCCCUAAUGUCUUUGGUUGGGGCGACCGCGGGGAAAUAAAAAACCCCCAUGUGGACUGAGAGCACCCCUCUUACACCCCAGAGUUACCACUCUAAUAAACAGAACUUCUGACCUAUCUGAUCCGGCAACGCCGAUCAACGGACCGAGUUACCCUAGGGAUAACAGCGCAAUCCUCUUUUAGAGCCCAUAUCGACAAGAGGGUUUACGACCUCGAUGUUGGAUCAGGACAUCCUAAUGGUGCAGCCGCUAUUAAGGGUUCGUUUGUUCAACGAUUAAAGUCCUACGUGAUCUGAGUUCAGACCGGAGCAAUCCAGGUCAGUUUCUAUCUAUGACAUGAUCUUUUCUAGUACGAAAGGACCGAAAAGAAGGGGCCCAUGCUUUAAGUACGCCUCUCCCCCACCUAAUGAAGACAACUAAAUUAGACCAAGGGGCAUACACCCCCGCCUAAGAUAAUGGCAU
rnacentral:rRNA from 1 species